GUUUAUAUUGAGGUGAAGUAAAACAAACAAUGGUAACAUAAGGAAGAAAACUAAGGAAGAAUAAUUUAUAUUGAUUAAUAUUAAGUAAUGGUAUACAUUAAGAAUGCCUUGGAUAUAAGAGUUCAGAGAUCCAAGAGGAAUUGAAUUGAAAGAGUAUAGUACACAAUUAUAUUUGACCUAAGUCUAUAAAAGGUAUGGGCUAGGGAGAAUAGGUUUCUGGAUAUGGUGAUG